rnacentral:lncRNA from 1 species
CCCCUAGAACCUCUCAGGGAUUCAGGAGCUCAGAAACCAAAAGCAGUGGCUUGUUCCAUUCCCUGCUUUCCUGUUACCCAAUAUUCAGGACAUUGGGUGAUUUCCAAAGCUUGAGGCUAAGUAGAUAAUCCUGUGUGUCCCAAGAUAAGGAGUUCUCAGGGUGUGCUGUGACGAUGGGGACAAGGUAUCAAUGGGAACAUCCCAUGGUAUUUCCAUGAUUGCAACAGACUGUAGUUAUUUGGGGUUUAUCCAGUUUUGCUGCGACCACCUACUGACAAUGUAUCUGUCAGGAAGAAGAAAAAGCACGAAAUUCAAAUGUGCAAGAAGACGUGCAAAACAAACCCUGUGA